UUUCCGUAGGUGAACCUGCGGAAGGAUCAUUCAUAAUAAAGUGUUUUAUGGCACUUUUUAUAAAUCCAUAUCCACCUUGUGUGCAAUGUUAGAUCUCGUCAAUCUUGGCGAGAUUUUUAUACAUCAACUCAUUCUUUAACUAAUUUGUCUGAAAAAUAUUAUGAAUACUUAAUUCAAAAUACAACUUUCAACAACGGAUCUCUUGGCUCUC
rnacentral:misc_RNA from 1 species